CAAUAGCGUAUAUUAAAGUUGUUGCAGUUAAAAAGCUCGUAGUUGGAUUUCUGGUGGGAGCGAUCGGUCUGGCGCUUAGCGCGAGUACUUGCAUCGUCUCCGGCCAUCCUUGGGGAGAGUCUGUCUGGCAUUAAGUUGUCGGGCAGAGGAUCCUCAUCGUUUACUGUGAAAAAAUUAGAGUGUUCUAAGCAGGCUUAUGCCGUUGAAUAUAUUAGCAUGGAAUAAUAAGAUAGGACUUUGGUACUAUUUUGUUGGUUUGCGCACCAAAGUAAUGAUUAAUAGGGACAGUUGGGGGUAUUCGUAUUCCGUUGUCAGAGGUGAAAUUCUUGGAUUUACGGAAGACGAACUACUGCGAAAGCAUUUACCAAGGAUGUUUUCAUUAA
rnacentral:rRNA from 1 species